AUGCAUCAGACUGGGGCUUGCUGCCACUAAAUCCCAAUAAGUCCAACAAUUUGUUUCUUUUGAAAACUACUAUAACCAAGAGUGUGCUCUCAAUCCAUUGUUUAUUCAUGAGUUUCUUUUGAAAACUACAAUUUGUUUCUUUUGCUGCCACCUUAUUUUCUUUUAUUCAUCAGUUUAUCAGUUUAUUUUUCAGUUUAUUCAUGUGAUGUAUAUUUAUCAGGUUAUUCAUGUGAUGUAUUUUUAUUAGUUUAUUCAUGUGACACAAAUUUAAUCCAGAACAUAAAACACUGUUCCAGCAUCAGGCAUCAGGCAGAUUGGAAAAUGGUUCCUGGAUUAAAGACUGGUCGGCUUCGGAAAAAGACACUCACGCAGCUAGAAACAGACUCGCCAGCUGCUAUUCCUUCAGGAUCAACCGUUGCUCCAUCUCGUGUUCUCCCCGUCCCAUCAAAUGUGGGACCAUCUCAUAAUGCCACUAGCCAACCAAUGGUUGAUUCUGAUGAGACAUAAGCCCCAUCUGAAACGCAGCCGAGUGGCGUAGGGACUUCGAAGCCCCUACGUGUACGCGGACCGACACGUGGCAAAGGCAUACAAAAAAUAAUUUGAGCCAAGAAAGGGGAAAAAUGUUAUGUUCACAUCGAUCGUGAGUUGAAUGCAAUGACUGGCAAGUAUGCCACUCCAGCAACUAACGAGUUAGGAAUUCAAAUUAGAACCUUGUGCCCUUUGAAAGAUGUGAAGUCAUGGCUGGAUCUUGAUGAGACUACAAAAGCUGCCGUCAUCCAAGGAGUUCUUGUAACUAAUAUUACUUGUCCACAAGAUGUAAUUGUAUUAUGUAUGCUAAUAAGAAAGACUAUUAUUUAAUGAUUA